GUUCCUGAUUCAGGUAAGUCCCUUCCAGGUGUUGGCUGAGUUGCUUGGUUUUGCAACUCAGGUCAUAGAGGUCAUGGAGGGUGGGACGUUGGCCAAUGUGUCAUCAUGCCAAUGCUCUGAGAAAAUGGACAGAGACAACACAAAAGCCAGAAGAGGAGUUUGCAGUACAAAUUGACCCUAGCGACCCAUCGUGUUCUUUUCAGAUUGAAAAGGCUUUGGGAGCCAGGCAACUGUAGCAACUGGGGCUUCAUUCCCUUAACACCGCUUCUACACAUGUGGGCAAGGACACCUUUAUAGACAUUUAACAAAGGGAGGACCAUUAACAGGAAGCUGGAUUGGAAGAGGAGCAGCCAGGACUCGACCAGUGCUCAGAUAUCGAUGUUGGUGUUACAGGCAGCAGCUUUACCUGCUGUGCCGCCAGCUUGGCCCCUUAGCCCUUGGCAAUCUCGUCCACUGGCUAUGAAUGCAACUAAAUAUGAUGAAUGGAUUCUGAAUCUUUACCUCCUGCCCACCAACAUUCUCUCUGAUCUUCAGAUCCACAAAUGCAGUAGUUGACUCCUCCUGAGGGUCCACAGGCCCUGAACUCUGUGUGAUUAAGGUGAGGCCUCAGUAGACCAAGAGGGAAAACUCCAACAAGUGGUUGGUGGCAGUUGUGUAGUGGUUAAGGACUAUGGCAAAGAAUCUCAGGUCAAGCAUGUCAUCAAAAAGUACUUGAGAUACAAGAAGUGGAUAAAUACAAAAUACAAAUUGCAAGAAAUGACUAAAUGAACACAUACAAAAUACAAAAAGUAAAUACAACAAACCAAAAAUACGAAUGCACAUGUGAGCUUGUGGGCAUGCAGACACACACAACACAAUCUCUCAUCCUUGCUCUUGCCGUGACAGGCAGCACGGCCAUUUGCUCAAGUCAGAGAAUUAGGGGUCAUCCUUGGCACCACCUUUUCAUAUGGAGUUGGUUACCAGGUCCUUUUGAUUCUGGCUUUCUGAUAUCUUGCAUCAGUCUUCUUUCCCUUCCUAGUUAGUUCUCUACCUCGUACAAUUGUUUCCUAUUUUGUUUUCUGCCUAUUCCACCGAACCAUUCCUGACAUAGUAAAAUGUAAAUGCGAUCCAGUUUUUCUCUUGCUUAAAGUCUGUCUAUUAAAAACAAAACACAAUGGCUGGCCGGCGCCGCGGCUCACUAGGCUAAUCCUCCGCCUAGCGGCGCCGGCACACCGGGUUCUAGUCCCAGUUGGGGCGCCGGAUUCUGUCCCGGUUGCCCCUCUUCCAGGCCAGCCCUCUGCUGUGGCCAGGGAGUGCAGUGGAGGAUGGCCCAAGUGCUUGGGCCCUGCACCCCAUGGGAGACCAGGAAAAGCACCUGGCUCCUGGCUCCUGCCAUCGGAUCAGCGCGGUGCGCCGGCCACAGCGCACCGGCCGCGGCGGCCAUUGGAGGGUGAACCAACGGCAAAAGG